UACGGGGGGAGCAAGCGUUGUUCGGAUUUACUGGGCGUAAAGGGCGCGUAGGCGGCCACCGCAAGUCGGUUGUGAAAUCUCCGGGCCUAACCCGGAAAGGUCAAUCGAUACUGCGGGGCUAGAGUGCAGAAGGGGCAACUGGAAUUCUCGGUGUAGCGGUGAAAUGCGUAGAUAUCGAGAGGAACACCUGCGGCGAAGGCGGGUUGCUGGGCUGACACUGACGCUGAAGCGCGAAAGCGUGGGGAGCAAACAGG
rnacentral:rRNA from 1 species